UAGGAAGUUCAUUCCAGUUCUGCAAGGUGU
rnacentral:piRNA from 1 species